rnacentral:rRNA from 1 species
CCAGAGAACUUAGCAGAGAUGCUUUGGUGCCUUCGGGAACUCUGAGACAGGUGCUGCAUGGCUGUCGUCAGCUCGUGUUGUGAAAUGUUGGGUUAAGUCCCGCAACGAGCGCAACCCUUAUCCUUUGUUGCCAGCGGCUCGGCCGGGAACUCAAAGGAGACUGCCGGUGAUAAACCGGAGGAAGGUGGGGAUGACGUCAAGUCAUCAUGGCCCUUACGGCCAGGGCUACACACGUGCCACAAUGGCGCAUACAAAGAGAAGCGACCUCGCGAGAGCAAGCGGACCUCACAAAGUGCGUCGUAGUCCGGAUUGGAGUCUGCAACUCGACUCCAUGAAGUCGGAAUCGCUAGUAAUCGUAGAUCAGAAUGCUACGGUCGAAUACGUUCCCGGGCCUUGUACACACCGCCCGUCACACCAUGGGAGUGGGUUGCAAAAGAAGUAGGUAGCUUAACCUUCGGGAGGGCGCUUACCACUUUGUGAUUCAUGACUGGGGUGAAGUCGUAACAAGGUAGGCGUAGCGAG